rnacentral:rRNA from 1 species
UACGAAGGGGGCUAGCGUUGUUCGGAAUUACUGGGCGUAAAGGGCGCGUAGGCGGUGUGUCAAGUCAGGCGUGAAAGCCCCGGGCUCAACCUGGGAACCGCGCUUGAGACUGGCACGCUAGAGUUCGGGAGAGGAUGGUGGAAUUCCCAGUGUAGAGGUGAAAUUCGUAGAUAUUCGGAAGAACACCAGUGGCGAAGGCGGCUCACUGGUCCGGUACUGACGCUGAGGUGCGAAAGCGUGGGGAGCAAACAGG